rnacentral:miRNA from 7 species
AGUAUUACAUGGCCAAUCUCC